GCAGCUUCAACAAGCACAACAGCAAUUUCAAGAAUAUUCUAUUUAUGUAGAAGAUUAUGAGAAACUGAAAUUCAAAGUUGCUGAUAUGGAGGAGAAGGAGGAACAAUAUCUCAAGGAGAAACAGAUCAUUAUUGACGACGUUCAAAAUCUUAAAACUGAUAUUUCUGAGAAAGAUAAAGUUAUAUCUAAACUGACAUCACAAGUAGAGGAACAAUCACAGAAUGAGAAACAGAUUAUUACUGACCUUAAAGAAAAAGAC